AUUGUCAUUAUUGAGUUCAAGCAUGUGUUGUUGAUGAAUUUCACCUAUCUUUCUCCAUUUUUCUAGUUUUGUUUUUUAAUCUAACAUUGUGGUAUGAAUUACUUUUGACAAAUUUGGUCAGAUUUGUUAAGUUGAUCCCAGUCCUCCUAAGGAAGAUGGCUCAGAAGAAUGCCCUUGUUCGGAAAUUUCCUAGUGUUGAAAUUCUUGGUUGCACAACCGUGAUUUGUUCUCAGCUUCAUUCUUCAUCUCAAUUGAUGAAAUGAUAAUAUGACAAUGGAUUUUGAUGAGAGGUACUUCCAUGGGAAACCACAAAAUAGCUUCCACAAAGCAGUGAAUAUCCCUGAUGUGGCAGUUUUUCCAAGGAAUGCAGAGGAAGUGUCCAAGAUAGUCAAAUCUUGUAACAAGUAUAAGGUCCCUAUGGUGGAGCCACAUCACUCGAGGGUCAUACAUUAUCACCUCAUGGAGGUGUUUGCAUUGACAUGAAUUUGAUGAAAGUAUGAGCCUGUUUCUUGUUAUAAAUCACGCCACAUGAUUUUAAGGCCCCUUUUAUCAAUAAAAUUUAGUUUAUUGACAUUCAUUAAUAACUUGAUUUUGUUUUAGCUAUCAACCAUACAUUUUGGUGCUUUCUAAUGCAUUUUAAUCUCAACAUAGGGUUCGCAUAUGUUUGUUUUAUAAUGGAGAUUAUUUUGAAUACUUUU